UGAAAACAGGGAUCUGCACACAAGAAC
rnacentral:piRNA from 1 species